rnacentral:rRNA from 1 species
UACGAAGGGGGCUAGCGUUGCUCGGAAUUACUGGGCGUAAAGCGUACGUAGGCGGAUCCUUAAGUCGGUGGUGAAAUCCUGAAGCUCAACUUCAGAACUGCAUUCGAUACUGGCGGGCUAGAGACCGGAAGAGGUGGGUGGAAUACCCAGUGUAGAGGUGAAAUUCGUAGAUAUCUGGAGGAACACCGGUGGCGAAGGCGGCAUCCUGGACCGACACUGACGCUGGGGAGCGAAAGCCAGGGGAGCAAACGGG